rnacentral:rRNA from 1 species
UACGUAGGGCGCAAGCGUUGUCCGGAAUUAUUGGGCGUAAAGAGCUCGUAGGUGGUUUGUCGCGUCUGCUGUGAAAACUCGGGGCUCAACUCCGAGCUUGCAGUGGGUACGGGCAGACUAGAGUGCGGUAGGGGAGACUGGAAUUCCUGGUGUAGCGGUGGAAUGCGCAGAUAUCAGGAGGAACACCGGUGGCGAAGGCGGGUCUCUGGGCCGUAACUGACGCUGAGGAGCGAAAGCAUGGGGAGCGAACAGG